ensembl:rRNA 5S_rRNA 5S ribosomal RNA
CUGCCUGGCCACACCACCCUGAACACGCCUGAUCUUGUCUGAUCUCGGAAGCUAAGCAGGGUCGGGCCUGGUUAGUACAUGGAUGGGAAUGCAAUGCUUUUCUAAGCACCUUUUAUCUGCCAGGUUGU